UGCCUCUCAGCACUACACUGAGGAAGAAAAUAUAUUUGGUUGAAAAGAAUCCCACCCUUACAAAGGGUUAUGGAUCAGAUCACUCAGAAUCCCCUUUAGCUGGGUUGGUGUGGAUGACUACACCAUUUGGACGUGAAUGAGAGAAGGACAAGACUGAAGAUUUACAAAAUCUGUAAGGCUGUAUUGAUUCCUACUGCUGAGCUGCUCUAACAAAGCUGAUUUUUAAUCCCAGUAUGAAGGGAUUAAUUAUAAAGUACUCACUGGAAUUUUAUGCACUGAUUCCUGCUAUAUGCCAAAAUAUGAAACCAGACUUUGAACCAGUCUGUGUGUACUGUAGUCACAGACAGGGA
rnacentral:lncRNA from 1 species